rnacentral:ncRNA from 13 species
GGUGAACCUGCGGAAGGAUCAUUAC